rnacentral:rRNA from 1 species
CAGUAGCCACGGUAAUACGUAGGGGGCGAGCGUUGUCCGAAGUUACUGGGCGUAAAGCGCGCGUAGGCGGCUCCUUAAGUCUGAGGUGAAAGGUUCAACGCUUAACGUGAACAGUGCCUUGGAUACUGGGGAGCUUGAGUAUGGGAGAGGGCAGUGGAAUGGCUGGUGUAGCGGUGAAAUGCGUAGAUAUCAGUCGGAACACCCAUGGCGAAGGCAGCUGCCUGGCCUAAUACUGACGCUGAGGUGCGAAAGCGUGGGGAGCGAACGGGAUUAGAUACCCGAGUAGUCCCUGUCUCUUAUA